GGGUCAGGUCGGAGCGGGAGGGCUGUUUGUGCUCGAGGGUUUCUGGGCGCCCUUCAGGUCCUCCACCUAAACCUACUUUUGUAGAGGUUUAGAGCUGGAAGGGGUUUUAGAGACCCUUUAAGGCGGAUGUUGAGGGCAACAGAGGAAAAAUAAAUUACCUGAAGCCACACAGCUAAUGAGACCUGGAAGUGGUGCCAGGGGUCUUCUGACUCCUAAGUUGGCUGUCCACUAGCUCCCCUUCUUGGUGCUGUUCCUUGGCUUUUACGGAGACACAGCAGAGUGAAGGGUGAGAAGCUGGGUCGGUGGAAGGCACAACUGUGGAACAGAUGGACUCCAUCCUCAAGGGCCAACCAUCGCAUCUUGUGGACCCCUUCAUCCGCUGAUGGUGCUGCCCAGGACCUGAGGGUUCUUAGACCACCCUUUCUCCGGUCGUGCUCCAGGUAACCAUGGAGGCCACACACUGAAGAUGGACAGAGGCUGGGUACCUGAAUCACCACAUGGAAGGCCAUCCACCAAGCACUGACUGGCCUGUGACAGAAGUGAGAAAUAGGCAUUUUCUUACUAAGUCACUGAUUGAGGGUUAUUUGUUA